UAUUCGGGAGUAGACUAACCAGGAUUCCCUUAGUAACUGCGAGUGAACAGGGAAAAGCCCAGCACCGAAGCCUGCGGUCACUUGGCUGCUAGGCAAUGUGGUGUUUAGGUCGGUCCUUGGCAUUACUGCUUCUCCCCAAGUCCAGGAAUGAGUACGGCUUAUUGACAUGGCCCAGAGAGGGUGAAAGGCCCGUUGGGGUGAAGACCAAGUGAGACAGUUUUGCCCUGGAUUGUCCUUGGAGUCGGGUUGUUUGUGAAUGCAGCCCAAAGUGGGUGGUAAACUCCAUCCAAGGCUAAAUACUGACACGAGUCCGAUAGCAAACAAGUACCGUGAGGGAAAGUUGAAAAGUACUUUGAAGAGAGAGUAAACAGUGCGUGAAACCGCUCAGAGGUAAACAGGUGGAGUUGAACUGCAAGCUCUGAGGAUUCAGCUGAUGAGUAUUUAUGUGCCUUUAGCAUGAUUGCUGGCUUUUAGAGUCCGCUUAGCUGUGGGUUCCUGUCAUAUUUGAUGGGAAUGUGUGAUGCACUUAUCAAGUGCUGCGCGCUCUAGAAGUACCGGGCUGGCUUGUCAGUGCACUUUCUCAGAGUGGUCACCACGACCGGCGCCGCUGUCUGUUAGCUGUAGUCGAACCGUUCAGGUCUGAUCUAUGGUUAGGCUUGUGCGGGAUGGCAGGUAACUCAAAUAAUUAUUGAGUGUAAUUAGCUGACUGCAGUCUGAUCUGUGCAGGGCGCCGGAGCUGGCGGCUUUGGUGUGAGCGUGCGUGCUAGUCUUCUGGCUGAGCUGAUUCUGGUUGGCUUGUUACUAUCUCUAGAUGGUCGGUCGAUGUUUCAGUUUUGUCUGGUUGGCAGUGGCGUAUGUGACACUAACCUGGGCCAAUAGUCUGUGGUGUAGUGGUAGACGAUCCACCUGACCCGUCUUGAAACACGGACCAAGGAGUUUAACAUGUACGCGAGUCAUUGGGCGUUACGAAACCCAAAGGCGCAGUGAAGGUAAAGGUUCGGUAUUCCCGAGCUGAGGUGAGAUCCUGCUGUUUCGCCUGUCUCUGACUAAAGUGACGAGCAGUAGGCGCAUCACCGGCCCGUCCCAUGGCGUAGUCAUGUUGCCUCGUGUGAUGUGCAUCGUCGGGGCGGAGCUAGAGCGUACACGUUGAGACCCGAAAGAUGGUGAACUAUGCUUGCGAAGGUUGAAGCCAGAGGAAACUCUGGUGGAGGACCGCAGCGAUUCUGACGUGCAAAUCGAUCGUCUAACGUGAGUAUAGGGGCGAAAGACUAAUCGAACCAUCUAGUAGCUGGUUCCCUCUGAAGUUUCCCUCAGGAUAGCUGGCAUUCUGAGAAACAAACAGUUUUAUCCGGUAAAGCGAAUGAUUAGAGGCAUUGGGGAAAAAAUAUCCUCAACCUAUUCUCAAACUUUAAAUGGGUGAGAAGCUUUACUCGCUUAAAUGGAGUGAGGCGUUGAAUGUGAAUGCCAAGUGGGCCAUUUUUGGUAAGCAGAACUGGCGCUGUGGGAUGAACCAAACGUAUGGUUAAGGUGCCUAAUGCAACGCUCAUGAGAUACCACAAAAGGUGUUGGUUGGUCUAGACAGCAGGACGGUGGCCAUGGAAGUCGGAAUCCGCUAAGGAGUGUGUAACAACUCACCUGCCGAAUCAACCAGCCCUG
rnacentral:rRNA from 1 species